GCCCGCUUGGCUAAGUGGUAUAGCGUGUCACUAGUAAACCAUUCUAGGUGUCAUGACAAGAUCAGCGGUUCGAUUCCGCUAGUGGGCA